rnacentral:rRNA from 1 species
UACGUAGGGCGCAAGCGUUGUCCGGAAUUAUUGGGCGUAAAGAGCUCGUAGGCGGCUUGUCACGUCGGGUGUGAAAGCCCGGGGCUUAACCCCGGGUCUGCAUUCGAUACGGGCUAGCUAGAGUGUGGUAGGGGAGAUCGGAAUUCCUGGUGUAGCGGUGAAAUGCGCAGAUAUCAGGAGGAACACCAACAGCGAAGGCAGAUCUCUGGGACGUAACUGACGCUGAGACGCGAAAGCGUGGGGAGCAAACAGG